UACUAUGGUUUGCUGACGCGGUUUGU
rnacentral:sRNA from 1 species